rnacentral:rRNA from 1 species
AGAGUUUGAUCCUGGCUCAGGAUGAACGCUGGCGGCGUGCUUAACACAUGCAAGUCGAACGAUGAACCAGGUGCUUGCACUUGGGGAUUAGUGGCGAACGGGUGAGUAACACGUGAGCAACCUGCCCCUGACUCUGGGAUAAGCGCUGGAAACGGCGUCUAAUACUGGAUACGAACCAUGAAGGCAUCUUCAGUGGUUGGAAAGAUUUAUUGGUUGGGGAUGGGCUCGCGGCCUAUCAGCUUGUUGGUGAGGUAAUGGCUCACCAAGGCGUCGACGGGUAGCCGGCCUGAGAGGGUGACCGGCCACACUGGGACUGAGACACGGCCCAGACUCCUACGGGAGGCAGCAGUGGGGAAUAUUGCACAAUGGGCGCAAGCCUGAUGCAGCAACGCCGCGUGAGGGAUGACGGCCUUCGGGUUGUAAACCUCUUUUAGCAGGGAAGAAGCGAAAGUGACGGUACCUGCAGAAAAAGCACCGGCUAACUACGUG